AUUGCCAAGUUUUUGCAGUAGGAGCAUGCUAGUAAUGAUACAGAGAAGAUUAGCAUGGCCCCUGUGCAAGGAUGACGUGCAAAUUCGUGAAGCGUUCCAUAUUUAA